rnacentral:lncRNA from 1 species
CCAGGCACCCCCCAAAUUACAGAACGUAAAAUUGUAUUGGAAGUUUUCAAAAGAUUUCAUGAUUUUUUUAAUUUCUGACUCUGCUUAUGUAGUUAAUGCGGUGCGCUCACUUGAAAUUGCAGGGCCAAUUCGGUCGACUAGUACUGUAUGUCAAAUUCUUUUAGAAUUACAAAAUUUGAUUUGGGCCAGAAAAAAUAAAAUUUUUAUACAACAUAUUCGAGCCCAUACUAAUUUGCCUGGUCCCAUGACCAGUAAUAACACCCUGGUGGAUGCUAGUACUCGUAGAAAGUUUAUUUUUCAUGCCACUCCGGUUGAUCUCGCUAGAGGAUUUCAUCAAAAGUUUCAUGUACCUGCUUUUACUCUUCAACAAAAAUUUAAAAAUCUCUAGAGCUGCAGCUUGUGAUGUGGUGUUAAGUUGCCAAAAUUGUGUUCAAUUUCACCACCCUCCUCAUGUGGUAUUAACCCUCGUGGUCUGAUCCAGCUAAAACUUUGGCAGAUGGAUGUCACACACAUAUCUCAAUUUGGAAAUUUAAAAUAUGCUCAUGUUUCUGUUGAUACCUAUUCCGGUAUUAUACAUGCUACUCUGAUGACUGGUGAAAAGGCUCGUAAUGCCAUUAGCCAUUGCUUAGAGGCAUGGGCAGCCUGGGGAAAGCCUGAUAGUCUCAAGACAGACAACAGGCCUGCCUACACUGCAAAGUCCUUUCAGGCAUUUUGCCAGACAAUGCAGGUCAAACAUAGUACAAGAUUGCCAUACAAUCCCCAAGGUCAAGGAAUUGUGGAAAGAGUACAUCGUACCUUAAAAGAGCUUAUACAAAAACAAAAAGGGGGAAUUGCCAGCAGCUGAACACCAAAAGAACAACUUUCUUUAGCUCUUUUUACUCUAAAUUUCUUAAUUUUGGAUGCGCAUGGCCGUUCUGCCAUGGAUCGCCAUGCUGCUACUACACCUAUAACUAAUGUAGAAGUAAAGUGGAAGGAUGUCUUAACUGAUGAAUGGCGUGGCCCAGAUCCCGUGAUUUCGGGAUCUAGG